rfam:Candidatus Berkelbacteria bacterium CG1_02_42_45 cg1_0.2_scaffold_6302_c, whole genome shotgun sequence.
CGGAUUUAGAAUUUCGAGUUUCCGCGCUUUGCGCGGUCAUGGCGUGCCUUUUGUAGAAUGAGCCAACGAGUUAGCUGUAUGCGGCAAGCUUAAGGGUUGUACCCGGAGGCGUAGUGAAAGCGAGCCUUAAUAGGGCGAUUAGUCGUAUGCACUAGACCCGAAACCGAGUGAUCUAUCCAUGGCCAGGGUGAAGGCCGAGUAACAUCGGCUGGAGGCCCGAACCUGUUCACGUUGCAAAGUGUUAGGAUGAGCUGUGGAUAGUGGUGAAAUGCUAAUCGAACUCGGAAAUAUCUGGUUCUCCUCGAAAUAUAUUUAGGUAUAGCCUCUGCCCAAUAACACGAGAGGUAGAGCACUGGAUGGGUUUUGGCGGCUUCGGCCGUCGGCCCCAAAUAAACUCCGAAUUCUCGUGUUUUUAGCAGGGAGUCAGACUGUGGGGGCUAAGCUUCAUGGUCAAGAGGGAAACAGCCCGGAUCGCCAUCUAAGGUCCCUAACUAAAGUCUAAGUGGAAAAGGAAGUGGAAUCUCCUAAACAAUCAGGAGGUUGGCUCAGAAGCAGCCAUCCUUUAAAGAGUGCGUAAUAGCUCACUGAUCUAACAGAGAUUCUGCGCCGAAAAUGUAACGGGGCUCAAGACUUUGACCGAAGAUGCGGAUUCGCGUCUCACUAUCGUUCGACGACUCCAGCAAUGGAUAACGAAUGGUCUAAAUAACGAAUAACCAAUAAAAAUUUCGAAAUUCGAAAUUCGAAACUCGAAACAAACAAAGAAAAUUCGAAUGUUUAAAAUUUUGAAAAUUAGAAUUUAGAAUUUGUUUCGGAUUUCGGAUUUCGAUAUUCGGAUUUAUAUUCAGAUUCGUCAUUAGUCAUUUGGAUAAAUUAGUCAUCCAUUUGUGGAGCGGCGAGCGGCAGCGAGGCGCGAGUGGUAGAGGAGCGUUCUUCGUGCGAUGAAGGUAGUCCGUAAGGAUUGCUGGAGUGCGGAGAAGUGAGAAUGUUGGCAUGAGUAACGAAUUAGCCAAGCGAGAAACUUGGCCACCGAAUACCCAAGGUUUCCUGGGCAACGGUAAUCGUCCCAGGGUUAGUCGGCCCUAAGCCGAGGCGUAAAGCGUAGGUGAUGGCCAGCUGGUUCAUAUUCCAGCACUCCGGAUGCUUGUCUCUAUGUGCGCAUUGUAACGAUUUACAGGAAGCUAUGGUUAAUUUCUGUAAGGCAUAGCAGUGACAAGAAAAGCGUAGAAACUUAUGGUAUCUGGAACCGUACCGCAAACCGACUCAGGUGGGUGAGGCGAGAAGCCUCAGGUGAUCGGAAGAACCCUCGUUAAGGAACUCGGCAAAUAAGCAGCUGUAACUUCGGAAUAAAGCUUCCCCGAUGUAAUGUCGGGGCGCAGCGAAAGAGCCCAGGCGACUGUUUACCAAAAACACAGGCCUCUGCUAAAGCGAAAGCUGAUGUAUAGGGGCUGACGCCUGCCCAAUGCUCGAAGGUCAAAUCCACUGGUGAUCCCCCGAUUCGUCGGGGAUGAGCCGGUGGGCUAAGCCCGAGUGAAUGGCGGCCGUAACUAUAACGGUCCUAUGGUAGGAUAUUAACUGCCUUAGUGAGGUGAAAGACCUCCGUUCGAACCUCGACGCCAUCGAGGAUGUAGGAUGAAAAUUCGACUAUAUGCUGGAAUAACCCGAUAGUAUCUGGCGGUGCUCGUGAUCCAAUAGGAUUGCAGCGAAAAUCCGACCAGUGGGGUCAAUCAGCAGGGAAGGUGAUGAGAUGGUAUUGGUAGUAAGGCUGGUAGUAGUGCAUCUCGGUUCAUCGCCAUCAGAUUGCGAUGAUUUCCGAGGAGCGACUCAAACUCGACUGUCAGUCCGAAGAAGCAUUUCUCGAGGAGUGUAACAAGCGCGAACAGGAAUUGACCGCUGGUCUUCCUGUGACAUCGCGGUUGUAGUUUGAUCAGAAGUCACGCAGAGUGAUCUCGGUCAUAGCGCUCGAGAAGUAAUCACCACCCCCAACGACUACACGUCGAGAACGAAGAACCAUGGAACGAAAGGGGCGCUCCAGUAUUUUCUCCGUUAAGAUAUAGUCUGAACUGCAUGGCGACAUGUAGAUCUCGACAGAAAUGAUCGAGACAUCUUGAUUGUCAUUCCGGACUUGAUCCGGAAUCUAUACAAAUAGAUCCUGAAAUGAAUUCAGGAUGACAAAAAAGUAGUAACAUAAAGAGCGAAAUUCCUUGUCGGGUAAUGUUGUCGGAAAACUUGCCCGAAAUAGAUAGUAAUAUCUCUUAAGUAAACCAGCUAAUAACGGUGAACUCCUUGGUGGCCGAAGAAGUCAGAGGAGAAUAUCGUGGGAAGUCCGGCCCUUUGUAAAAAGAGUUGGACCCCGUAACGACUGAUCCGAAAGGUGAGAUUCGAUGUAAUAUCGGAUAAUACGCUGGCGCUUGUCGAAAAAAGUAUGCAAUGGAGUUCUUGGAAAGGAGAAAGAUGGAUUUUAAUUCAUUUAUUUCUGGUUUUGUUGAAGGCGAAGGAUGCUUCUGUGUUUCGUUUAAUCAGCGCAGUAAGUUGAAAACGAACAUUGAAGUCAGGCCGAGCUUUUCAAUCAGCCAGAAUAAGAAAAAUCUUGAGCUUAUAAAGAGAAUUCACCAGAAUUUCGGGUGUGGCUCGAUAAGAUUUUCCAAGAAUGACCAAAAUUAUAAAUUCGAAGUCAGAUCAAUAACCGAUCUUGUAAAAAAGAUCAUCCCAUUUUUUAGGAAAUAUCCUUUAGUGGGAACGAAAAAAUCAGACUUUGAAAAAUUUUCGCAGGUUUGCGACUCGAUUUAUAAAAACCAGCAUCGCAACCCGAAAAAAUUAUUAGAGAUCAUCGAAAUUUCUUAUCAAAUUAAUUGCGGUAAGAGAAAAUAUCAAAAAGAUGAGCUCCUAAAGCAUAUGACAAGCUGAAAAUAUAGUCUAAUCCAUUAGCAAUAAUGGCAAUAAACUUGAAGUUCCGACCCGCACGAAUGGCGUAACGAUCUGGGCACUGUCUCAACGAGGGAUCCGGUGAAAUUACAAUGCCGGUAAAGAUGCCGGCUACCUGCAGCAAGACGGAAAGACCCCGUGGAGCUUUACUAUAGUUAGAUAUUGAAUCUAGGAUUUAGAUGUGUAGAAUAGGUGGGAGAAUCGCGUCUCACUAUCGUUCGACGCAACCAAGAACGGAUAACGAAUAUCCUAAUAGCCAAUAACGAAUAAUACAAAUAUUCGUAAAUAUUAGUUAUUAGUCAUUAGAAACAUUAGUCAUCCAUUCUUGGAGCGGUGAGCGGCAGCGAGGCGCGACUCACUAGUGAAAUACCACUCUUCUACUUUCUGGCUUCUAACCACCCGACCGGAAUCGAUCGGGAGAGACAGUAUCUGACGGGUAGUUUAACUGGGGCGGUUGCCUCCUAAAUUGUAACGGAGGCGUUCAAAGGUACGCUUACUCCGGAUGGAAAUCGGAGUGAAAGUAUAAAAGCAUAAGCGUGCUUGACUGUGAGACUUACAAGUCGAACAGGUGGGAAACCAGGAUUUAGUGAUCCGGUCCGCAUUUAUGAUAAUCGGACCGCUCAUCGGAUAAAAGUUACCCCGGGGAUAACAGGCUGAUCGCAUCCAAUAGACCACAUAGACGAUGCGGAUUGGCACCUCGAUGUCGGCUCGUCCUAUCCUGGGGCUGAAGAAGGUCCCAAGGGUUUGGCUGUUCGCCAAUUAAAAGGGUACGCGAGCUGGGUUCAGAACGUCGUGAGACAGUGGAAUAUUGCGCUGUCUAUAAAUUUGGCUAUAUGCUGGGAACUCUGUAGUCCUAAUAGGACUUGUAGUAUCUGGUGGUACUUUGUAUUAUAGAAAUAUGUUACAAAGUGAAAAUUCAUCCAGUGCAGACAAUCAGCAGGAAAGGUCAAAAGAGUUUUUGCGCGGGUACGUUUGUGGUUUGGUUGAUGGUGAAGGCAGCUUUCACAUCGCUUUUGCGAUACGAAAAGACUUGCCUUUAGGAAUGUCUGUGAUUCCGGAGUUUCAUGUUUCACAGAAUUUCCAGAGCCGAAAUGUUCUAGAACUUGUUGAAAAAGUUUUAGGCUGCGGCUACAUUAAACCAAAUCACCGGAAUUCAAAGGAUGAGACUUUUGUCUAUGUCGUCCGAGAUCGGGCUGACCUUAUAACAAAAGUUAUUCCAUUCUUUGAAUUCAACCAUUUGCUUACAUCUAAAAAGCUUGAUUUCAAAAUAUUCUAUUCUGUUGUUCGAAUAAUCUGCUCUGGCAGACACCGAACAUCAGUUGGAAUGGCUGAAAUCAUCAAACUAGCUUACAAGAUGAAUGCUGGUGGAAAAAGACGUAUUCGUAAAAAAGAAGAAUUAUUAGCUCUUUUGAAAUCCUCAACGACUACAUGCCAAACUCCGAACAAAGUGUCGGAGAAGAUAUAGUCUAAACUGCAUAGCGAUAUGCAGAAUCCAAUUCGCAUUGGAUCGCCACAGAUAAAUUUCAGUAAUUGAUGUGGUUAUCAAGUAAUAGAUUGUCGGUCCUAAUCUGCUGUAGGCGUAAAGAUUUGAGUGGUGCUGUCCCUAGUACGAGAGGACCGGGAUGGACGAACCUCUGGUGUGCCAGUUGGAUGACCCUCAUCCAUCGCUGGGUAGCUAUGUUCGGUUUGGAUAAACGCUGAAAGCAUAUAAGCGUGAAGCCGUCCACAAGAUUAGAUCUUUGAUCCCCCAAAGACUAUGGGGUUGAUAGGCUCUAGGUGUAAGUCCCGUGAGGGAUUCAGCUGUGGAGUACUAAUUGAUCAAUUUCCGCC